AACGAACGCUGGCGGCAUGCCUAACACAUGCCAGUCGAACGAGACCUUCGGGUCUAGUGGCGCACGGGUGCGUAACGCGUGGGAACCUGCCCUUAGGUUCGGAAUAACUCCCCGAAAGGGGUGCUAAUACCGGAUAAUGUCUUCGGACCAAAGAUUUAUCGCCUUUGGAUGGGCCCGCGUUGGAUUAGCUAGUUGGUAGGGUAAAAGCCUACCAAGGCGACGAUCCAUAGCUGGUCUGAGAGGAUGAUCAGCCACACUGGGACUGAGACACGGCCCAGACUCCUACGGGAGGCAGCAGUGGGGAAUAUAGGACAAUGGGCGAAAGCCUGAUCCAGCAAUGCCGCGUGAGUGAUGAAGGCCUUAGGGUUGUAAAGCUCUUUUACCCGGGAUGAUAAUGACAGUACCGGGAGAAUAAGCUCCGGCUAACUCCGUG
rnacentral:rRNA from 1 species